rnacentral:rRNA from 1 species
GACGAAGGAUGCAAGCGUUAUCCGGAUUCAUUGGGUUUAAAGGGAGCGUAGGUGGUCUUAUAAGUCAGUGGUGAAAUCUCGCAGCUUAACUGCGAAACUGCCAUUGAUACUGUAGGACUUGAGUAUAGUUGCUGUGGGCGGAAUAUGACAUGUAGUGGUGAAAUACUUAGAGAUGUCAUAGAACACCGAUUGCGAAGGCAGCUCACAAAACUAUAACUGACACUGAGGCUCGAAAGUGCGGGGAUCGA